CACACACACACGCUUGUCCAAUUUCACUAAUAAAAUUCUUUUGGCAAACUACUAAAUAACAAUAUUCUCACUCAUAAAAAACAUCAAAACGGUCAGCUUUGAUGAACUAACUAAUCCGUUUAUGGAAUCGCAUUGGCCUUGCCGCAGCUCCAACCUUCAAACCGCCAGCUUUUCUUUUUCGACCAACGCAAUAUUAACGCACCAAUCAUCGCCGUUUCUGCAGUCCACUGCAAUAAUACAGGUGUUUCUCCGUACGAUCGAGAGCGGGAAUGAAGAGCAGGAACCGCGGGAAAGUGUCUAUCAGAUGGAUUAUGGUCCUCUGCCUCAUCAGCUUUGGCCUCGGCAUUCUUUUCAGCAACAGAAUGUGGAUUGAUUUGCAAUCAGAAGAUCGAUUUCUUUUCACAAGGCGGCAUUUGGGAGAUUUGGAGGCUACUUCCGAUGACUGUGUGACAAAUAAGAAACUAAUUCCUGAUGAGGAAGUGAUCAAAGAGUUCAGCAAAGCACAUGAAGCAAUACAAUCUUUGGAUUCUUCUGUUGCCAAACUACGCCUGGAGCUGCCGUCCAACAAGAAACCUCGCAAAUUUGGAAAUUUUGAGAACUCAAAUGGUAGUUCCACAUUUGCUGGAAAUGCUGUGACGAGAAAAAAGGUGUUUAUGGUCAUAGGUAUAAAUACAGCAUUCAGUGGCAGACGGAGGCGUGAUUCUAUCAGAGAAACAUGGAUGCCUAGAGGUAAAAGUCUGUUACAACUUGAAGCAGAGAAGGGUAUUGUGGUUCGUUUCAUGAUUGGUCACAGUGCAACAUCCAACAGUAUUCUGGACCGUGCAAUCGACUCUGAGGAUGGCCAGCACAAGGACUUUAUUAGGCUUAAUCAUGUUGAAGGAUAUCAUGAAUUAUCAGCAAAGACAAAAUCGUUCUUCGCUGCUGCAGUAGAAAGAUGGGAUGCUGAGUUCUUUGUCAAAGUGGAUGAUGAUGUUCAUGUCAAUUUGGGCACACUAGCUGCAACGCUGGCACGCCAUCGCUCCAAACCCAGAGUAUAUAUAGGAUGUAUGAAGUCAGGACCAGUUCUUCAUCAGAAGAAUGUAAAGUACCAUGAGCCUGAGUAUUGGAAGUUUGGGGAAGAAGGAAACAAGUACUUUCGACAUGCUACUGGACAAAUAUAUGCCAUAUCAAGGGAUCUGGCUAAAUAUGUCUCAGUCAACCAACAAAUCCUGCACAAAUAUGCUAAUGAAGAUGUGUCGCUUGGAGCCUGGUUUAUUGGUCUAGAAGUCGAGCAUGUAGAUGAUCGCAGCAUGUGCUGUGGGACUCCACCCGACUGUGAACGGAAAGCACAAGCAGGCAAUGUUUGUGUUGCGUCGUUUGAUUGGAGCUGCAGUGGCAUUUGCAAAUCUGUGGAGAGAAUCAAGGGAGUUCACUCCAAGUGUGCUGAAGAUGCUUCCACUCUUUGGAAUGCGCUCGUGUAGGCAAACACCUCUUUUCUCUUCUCUUCCAUUUACACUCACAAAGUUGACAAGCAGGAAAGCUUGAUAAGUGGAGAAGCAAUGUUCAAAGCUGAAACGAAUUGGGAGGAUCAAGGAAGAAGAAUAAGCCUGAGUUAGAAGCAUAGCAAAGCAACUGAGCAACCACGAAUGGAAUGAACAGGUUUUAAGCACAAUGCACAGGUAUUCUUCUUGAAUCGAGAGAAAAACAAUUGUUGUAAUAGUGACCAAGAAAGAGUAUGCAGUGUGAUAUGAUAGCAAGGCAAAUAAAGCAGACAUAAGUCACCUGUUUUU